UACUCGCUCCUUGUUCGAGAGGUUUUUAACAGUGUAGUCUACGUCUUAUGCUCCAGCAUCGUCACAAUUUUCAAAGCUCAUAUCCAAAGCUAAAAAAAAAAAGUUAGUUUCCCGCUUCCUGAACGCAGCUGUCAACUAAUGUCAUUACGGUUUUUGUGCACCGGCGCGUCACUUCGCCUCCGUAAAUAAACUAAUUGAAAACCAAUAUUUAAUACAAAAACAUGAUUGAUAUAGUGCGAAAAAUCUGUUACUUACAUAAUCAAGUGCUUUUUUCUCUAAAAAAGCUAGAAACAGUACCAAAGAAAAAAUGUGGAUGACAACGAGCGUAAGUUCUUUUUGAUAAAACAAAAUGUGGAUUAAACUGCUUCCACAGGUGAUGGAGUUGUCCAUGAAACAUGCUUUAAACAUAAUGACAUUAGUUGACAGCUGCGUUCAGGAAGCGGGAAACUAACUUUUUUUUUUUAGCUUUGGAUAUGAGCUUUGAAAAUUGUGACGAUGCUGGAGCAUAAGACGUAGACUACACUGUUAAAAACCUCUCGAACAAGGAGCUUUCGUAUAAUUGAGAUAGAACUUCACUUACAGAUGGCGCCGACGUGAAAUGUUCGUCUGUCGCGUCAACUCAACCAAUCAACGACGUACAAAUUAAAAUGAGAUCAAUUUUACCUAUGAAAUGCAAAAUUCAAGUCGGACGAUCGAAUUAGCUGACAAUCCAAAAUUUCAGUUGUUGGACAAUUUAAUAAAAGAGUGUUACUUAAAAAAUGUUAACCACAGCAGAGUGCUUCCCACCAACAAAAUAUACAAUAAUGAUGGCCCCUUCUGCCCUCGAACAUUCGACGGGUUCGCGUGUUGGGACGCGACACCAGCCUCGGCAACCGCCAUGCAACCUUGCCCCGAGUUUGUCAUCGGCUUCGACCCACGUCGGUUCGCUUUUAAAAGGUGCACUGACAAUGGAACUUGGUUCAUGCAUCCAGAGGCAAACAAACCAUGGACUAAUUAUACCACCUGUGUCGACGUUGAAGAUUUAGAUUUUCGGAACACCGUAAAUAACAUCUACAUAACCGGAUACUCCAUCUCAGUGGCUGCUUUGGUACUAUCCUUAAUCAUUUUCAUAUACUUUCGAUCGCUACAGUGUACUCGAAUCCGCAUCCACAUGCAUUUGUUCACUUCGUUCGCACUAAACAACGUCCUCUGGAUAUUGUGGUACCGCGCCGUGGUCAAUCAGCCGGAUGUGGUGCAGGAAAACAGGGAUUGGUGUCAAGUGCUGCACGUCAUCACACACUAUUUCAUGGUGUCAAGCUACAUCUGGAUGUUCUGCGAAGGACUACACCUACACAUUGCGCUUGUGGUCGUGUUCGUGAAGGAUGACGUAGCGAUGCGAUGGUUCGUGGCGCUCGGCUGGGGCGGGUCGUUGCUGAUCGUGACUGCUUACUCCGUGGUCCGCUACCACACCCCUGGCGCCACAGACAGGUGCUGGAUGGAGCAUAGCGACACUUUCUGGAUAAUCAUCGUGCCCGUCGUGCUUUCGUUGUUCGCGUCUUUCGUAUUCCUGGUGAACGUGGUACGGGUUCUGCUCACCAAACUACAUCCUGCUCCCAACCAGCACGCGUCGUUGGCGGCCAAGAAAGCUGCCAGAGCUGCUCUUAUCCUGAUUCCAUUAUUCGGACUUCACUUCGUUCUGAUUCCGUUGCGUCCCACCCAAGAUUCACCGGUAGAGAAACUCUACCAGAUUGUUUCGGCUCUACUAACCAGCUUACAAGGCCUGUGCGUGGCUGUGUUGUUCUGCUUCACCAACCACGACGUGAUGACGGCGACGAAGACACAGCUCUCGAGGAUGUUCCGCACCAACGACGCCAUUGCCAUGACCGGUAUUACAGGGGGAGAGAGUUUAGUGAACACGAGAGACAAUGUUGUAUAAAACAAUAUACAUAAAUCUGGUGUUUAAGAAAAGCAAUGUGUUUAUCUGCUACAUUAUGAUCGAAUUAAUUAAGAUAAUUAGCAACGCACUAAUAGGAUACUAUCUGUUAUAAGGCGUCCUCGCGGUCCAGUAUAAUGCCCAUCUCGAC
rnacentral:misc_RNA from 1 species